CUUAGUGGCGGACGGGUGAGUAACGCGUGGGGAACCUGCCCUGUACAGGGGGAUAACACUUAGAAAUAGGUGCUAAUACCGCAUAAGCGCACGGUAUCGCAUGAUACAGUGUGAAAAACUCCGGUGGUACAGGAUGGACCCGCGUCUGAUUAGCUGGUUGGCGGGGUAACGGCCCACCAAGGCGACGAUCAGUAGCCGGCCUGAGAGGGUGAACGGCCACAUUGGGACUGAGACACGGCCCAAACUCCUACGGGAGGCAGCAG
rnacentral:rRNA from 1 species